AUUGAACGCUGGCGGCAUGCCUUACACAUGCAAGUCGAACGGCAGCACGGGAGCAAUCCUGGUGGCGAGUGGCGAACGGGUGAGUAAAGUAUCGGAACGUGCCCAGUCGUGGGGGAUAACGUAGCGAAAGUUACGCUAAUACCGCAUACGAUCUAUGGAUGAAAGCGGGGGAUCGCAAGACCUCGCGCGAUUGGAGCGGCCGAUAUCAGAUUAGGUAGUUGGUGGGGUAAAGGCUCUCCAAGCCGACGAGCUGUAGCUGGUCUGAGAGGACGACCAGCCACACUGGGACUGAGACACGGCCCAGACUCCUACGGGAGGCAGCAGUGGGGAAUUUUGGACAAUGGGCGAAAGCCUGAUCCAGCCAUGCCGCGUGCAGGAUGAAGGCCUUCGGGUUGUAAACUGCUUUUGUACGGAACGAAAAGGUUUGGCCUAAUAAGCUGAGCUCAUGACGGUACCGUAAGAAUAAGCACCGGCUAACUACGUACCAGCCGCCGCAGUAA
rnacentral:rRNA from 1 species